UCCGAUAUAGCCAAGUUGGUAAGGCAAUGGACUUUGACUUCAUUAUGCGGGGGUUCGAGUCCUCCUAUCGGAA
rnacentral:tRNA from 1 species